GAUGAACGCUGGCGGCGUGCCUAACACAUGCAAGUCGAACGGAGUCCAGCCUUAGAGACCUUCGGGUCAAAGAGGGGAAGACUGAGUGGCGGACGGGUGAGUAACACGUGGGCAACCUGGCUCAUAGAGGGGGAUAACAGAGAGAAAUUUCUGCUAAUACCGCAUAAGCACACACUGCCGCAUGGCAGAGUGUGAAAAGAGAAUCGCUAUGAGAUGGACCCGCGUCUGAUUAGCCAGUUGGCAGGGUAAGAGCCUACCAAAGCGACGAUCAGUAGCCGAUUUGAGAGGAUGAACGGCCACAUUGGGACUGAGACACGGCCCAAACUCCUACGGGAGGCAGCAGUGGGGGAUAUUGCACAAUGGGGGGAACCCUGAUGCAGCGACGCCGCGUGAGUGAAGAAGUAUUUCGGUAUGUAAAGCUCGAUCAGCAGGGAAGAUAAUGACAGUACCUGAAGAAGAAGCCCCGGCUAACUACGUG
rnacentral:rRNA from 1 species